rnacentral:rRNA from 1 species
UAGGGAAUAUUAGAAAUGGACGAAAGUCUGAUCUAGCAACACCGCGUGUGCGAAGAAGGCCUUCGGGUCGUAAAGCACUUUUUGGAAGGAAUAGGAAGGAAUGUACUUCCAGAAUAAGUCUCGGCUAACUACGUGCCAGUAGCCGCGGUAACACGUAGGAGGCGAACGUUAUCCGGAUUUACUGGGUGUAAAGCGCGUGUAGGUGGUUCUGUAAGUAGGGCGUGAAAGCUCCUGGCUCAACUGGGAGAGGCCGUUCUAAACUACAGAACUAGAGGAUGGUAGAGGGAGGGGGAAUUCCAGGUGUAGCGGUGGAAUGCGCAGAUAUCUGGAGGAACACCAGUGGCGAAGGCGGCCUCCUGGACCAUUCCUGACACUCAGACGCGAAAGCUAGGGUAGCAAACG